AAGAACAGAAAAAGCAACGCUCAGUAAAAAACAAAAAUUACGCCGACCAGUGCAUGCACGUGGUUGUUGAGAUCGAUCUUCCCGAGUUCCCAAUUCAAUACCGAAUCCGGAGAUCUUCUUAGCAUUCAGCCCACAAAGCUCAAAUUCCGCUCUAAGUCGUUUGCUUUUGGGUUUAAAAUUUGAUUCGAUUUUAUUUUAUCCAGAUGAUUUGGUUGUUAGUUGAAUAAAAUUUGACAUACAACUCCAUUCUUUCAAUGGGUCUAUUCAUUGGAUUAACUGACUAGGUUUUCUGAAAUUAUUGUUUCUUAUUGAUUGGGUAUGUGAAAUCCAUGUUUGAAUUUCUGCAGCUGCUGAUUGUUUGGAAUUGAAACAAUCGAUGCUUCGUUACUGCAAUUGCUGGUUGUUUAAUGUUUAUUAAAACAGUUGCUGAUUGUUUGGAAAAUCCAGUGGAUGAUCUUUUUCGUGGGGGAGAAAAUCUUGUAGAAUUAAUCCGGUUUGAACUCAAAGUUGCAGACUUUCUUUCUGACGUUCUAUAUAUUCCAACUUUCUAACUGAGCUAGUGUACUACGUAGCAGUGUGGUGAUUUGUUGUUUAUGUUGUUAUAUUCACCGAAUUGAACUGGUUCACACUGGGAGUACUAUGACUCUGCUAGUCUAGGAAAAAAGUAGAAAUUUUUUUCCCAUUUUGUUUAGCGAGGUUGUUAGGUUCUCUGGUUAUGCAGAGUUUGCCAAUUAAGUGAAGUUCUGUUAUCCUUAAUAAUGUCAAGGCUCUUGUCUACUUAAUAAUAAAAAAAUGUUCCUUUGGUAGACUAAUAGUACACCUUCCAUAAUUGUCAUGAACUCAUGAUAUUUAGAACCUUGCAUACAAGAAUCAUUUUGUGGUUGCAUGUUAGGUUUUAAUUGAAUUGAGUGUGUGCAUUUUGAUUCUGAAAAUGAUUUUGAGGCUGGUUUGAGCUCAGUUAGUGUGAACUAUGAUUGUGAAAAAUGGAAUCUGACUUCGGUUCAGGUGGUCAUGGUGACGGGUUUUACAUGUUGAUUGUGUUUUCCACAGAGAUUAAAGGACCAAACUCCACCUCUGCUAAAAGUGAUAAAUGCAAAGUACUCUCUCUUAAAAAGAAGCCAUUAUCAAGUAAAGAAGGACCUGGUGUUAUCCCAAGUGUCAGACAGGAAAGCAGACGACCAAGUCCACGGGAAUUAAAGUCUGUCAGAGGUUUAUGAAGGAGCCACCAACAGAUUUAUUCAGCGAGCUCUAACUUGCACUUGAAGUCCAUCAUAAUGCAAAACCUGAGCUUAAAAGUGCCUAUGCCUGCUAAGGAGUCAUUUGUCUUGUCAGCAGCUUGAUGCCUUUUUGGCAAAUGUUAAGAAACUAAACAACCACGAGCAAAACAAGAGGAGCCACUGCAGAAGGCUGAUGAGAUUUUUGGGACAGAGAA